rnacentral:lncRNA from 1 species
UCGCUCUAACAUCAGCCGGAUAGAAGCAACGUAUUUGGGAAAGAAGCUCUCUCACCUCAGGUUCAAAUUUCUUCAAUUCAGGCGAUUUCUCAAUCAACUCUGCCUUACACGCUUCCAUCCGCCUCAGGUUCUCAUUUCCAUGGUUAUAAGGCCCAACAGCCAAAACAAUAGGUCGAAAGGAGUUCUCAUUUCCAUGGUUAUAAAGUGUGAUUAAAGGGUCAAAGCUUAACCCUAAUUGAUAUUCAUCCAUGUAAAUAUAUAGUACAUCAAGCAAACCUAAUUAAGGGAAAACCGUGAGUUUAGGAAACAUUCCUAAACAAUGUCGUAAGUUUAAGAAACAAUCCUAAACAAUAGCUCCUAGAAUAUAUCAUAAUAUCUCAACAUUUAGGAAACAAUCCUAAACAAUAGCAACUACUUUCCUAGAAUAUAUCAUAAUAUCUCAACACCCUCCCUCAAGUUGGAGCAUGAGGUUCAAAAAUGCCCAACUUGGCAAGAAGAUAAUCAAAUUGUUUCUUUCCAAGAGCCUUUGUAAAAAUAUCCGCCAAUUGUGUAACAGUAGGAACAUAUGACGGAGCAAUCAAACCAUCUGUUAUCGCAUCUCGAACAAAGUGACAAUCAACCUCAAUGUGUUUGGUGCGUUCAUGAAAUACUGGAUUUUUGGCCAUAUGAAGGGCUGACUGACUAUCACAAAAGAGCUUGAUUGCCUUUGGGUGGUGCACACCCAAGCUCAGAAGCAACCCCUUCAACCAUUUGAGCUCACAAGUAACUGCUGCCAUAGCUCGGUAUUCCGCUUCUGCAGACGAGCGGGAAACUGUGUGUUGCUUCUUUGUCUUCCAAAAAAUAGGAGAUUGCCCAAGAAACACAAGCCAUCCGGACAAAGAGCGUCUAGUGACUGGACAUGCUGCCCAAUCAGAAUCACACCAACCCUGCAAGGACAAAUCACUAUCUGCACGUAACAAGAUACUCUGACCUGGAGUACCUUUCAAAUAACGAACGACUCUCAAAGCCGCCUCCCAAUGCUCAAUUCUAGGCUCCUGCAUAAAUUGAGAUAAUAUAUGAACCGAGUAGGCCAAAUCUGGACGGGUCACUGCCAGAUAAAUGAGUCGACCUACUAAUCUACGAUAGGACUUAGGGUUCGACAAGAGCUCCCCAUUUGCGAGUCCUAAUUUGUGAUUUUGCUCGAUCGGGAAGCCACACGGCUUGGCUCCCAAUAAUCCGGCCUCCGAUACAAUGUCAAGUGUGUACUUGCGUUGACACAAGAACAAACUAGCCGAACUCCUGGCCACCUCGAUUCCGAGGAAAUACUUCAAAACACCAAGAUCUUUCAUCUUAAAACAAUCACUGAGAUAGGCUUUAAAGGUCUUAAGUGCAGCGGAAUCAUUCCCAGAGAUAAUAAGAUGGUCGACAUACACUAGCACAUUUAUUUGAACAUUGCCCUUAGUGUAAGUAAAAAGAGAAUAAUCAGAGUAGGAUUGUAAGAAACCAUAUCCUUUAAGAGCCGUGACCAACUUGGCAAACCAACAUCUCGGAGCCUGUUUCAACCCAUAAAGUGAUUUCCGUAACCUGCAAACCAAGUUCGGAUCGGAACUCUCAAAUCUUGGGGGUAGCUUCAUAUACACUUCCUCCUCAAGAUCUCCAUGCAAAAAGGCAUUGUGAACAUCCAUCUGAUGAAGUUCCCAAUGUUUCGAAGCCGCAAUAGCCAAGAAAGCACGCACCGUAGUCAUUUUGGCAACUGGAGAAAAAGUCUCAUGAUAAUCAAUACCGGCUUCUUGAUGAUUCCCCAAAACUACUAAUCUGGAUUUGAGCCUUUCAAUAUCACCGUUUGAGAAGUACUUGGUUUUGUAAACCCACUGACUUCCCAAAGCACGCUUACCCUUUGGAAGAGGUUCAAGAGUCCACGUACCAUUUUCCUCCAAAGCCCGAAUCUCCUCAUGCAUUGACUUUUGCCAACCGACAUCUUUCAUAGCCUCUUUAAAUGACUUAGGAUCAUUGCUCGAAAUAAUAGCUGCAAGAAACUUUCGAUAAUGUACAGAAAAAUUGUCACAAUUUAUAUAAUGUGCUAUGGGAUAAGGAGUAUCUGAGGGAUGCUGUGGAGACGGAGUGGCGGGAGAUGGACAUUCAGCAACCACCGUAUGAGUAACAAAAUCUCGUAAUAGAACCGAAGGAAAUUUAUCCCUCAUUCCCUUUCCCAUAGGAGCAGACUGCCCAUUGCUUGUAUUGUCAAGCCCAAGUGAAUCAAGCCCAACAGUGGGAACAACUUCCGGCCCAGGUGAAAGAUCUUGGUGGGCUUGGGGUUCAGGUUGGAUGAGGUUGGGAUUUUGUGUUUGGGCUUGUGGGUUAGGUAAAUCAGCAUCAUCAUCGACAAAAUCAGCAAAAUCACUAUCAAUUUCAACAUUUACCGUAGGCACAAUGUUGUCCGGAAUAAUAUUCACAGCACCCGGGUUACCAAACGGAAAAACAUCCUAAAAAAACUUGACAUCACGAGAAACAAAUAAUUCCUUGGUGUCCAAAUCAAACAACUUUCAUCCCUUCUUUCCAAACGGGUAACCCAAAAACACACAUUUUCUACUUCUACUUGCAAAUUUGUCACCUUUGGAUUUUUGAUCAUGAGCAAAACUAAGACAACCAAAGGUAUGAAUUGCCGCAUAUGAAGGAGGGGUACCAAAUAGGAUUUCAAAUGGUGUUUUAUUGUGUAACAAAGGAGAGGGAGUGCGGUUUAUUAAAUGAGCAGCGACAAGAACACUUUCGCCCCAAAAAUAAAUAGGCAAAUUUGCUUGAAAGCGUAAUGCCCUCCCCACAUUUAAAAUAUGCUUGUGUUUUCUCUCAACCCUCCCAUUUUGUUGCGGAGUUCCCACAUAAGAAGUUUGGAAUAAAAUGCCAGUUGCAGAAAAAUAGUCAAGUAGGCAUUUAAAUUCCGUACCAUUAUCACUUUGAACAACUUUCACUGUUUGAGAAAAUUGUCGAUCUACCAUUGCAAUAAAAGACAUAAACAUCCGAAAAACUUCUGUUUUAUCGACCAACAAAUAAAUCCACACAGCUCUUGAGAAAUCAUCAACAAUAGUUAAAAAAUAACGAGCUCCACAAGAAGAGACAUGUUUAUAAGAGCCCCACAAAUCACAAUGUAUUUUCUCAAAAAUUCUAGUUGCCUUAUUGUCACUUAAAGGAAAUUUGUCUCUAGGAUGCUUAGCACGAAAACAUAUUUCACAAGCUUUGUUUAAACUACCCUUAAGAUUGCUAACUGGAGGAAGUAACUUCACUACUUUCUCUGAAGGAUGUCCCAUCCUUUUGUGCCACAACUCCAAAGUGGAGGCUGCGUUGUGGACAGAAACAUGUUGUACCGAAUCACUUUCAGCUCCACCGAAGUAGUAAAGUCCAUCUCGCCCAACUCCUGUUCCAAUCAGCUCCCUGGUGUGGUCCUGUAUAGCACACAUAUAAGAGUUAAAUUGGACAAUACAAUGUAAGUCAUCAGUCAAUUGUGAAAUCGAAAGUAAAUUGCAAUUGAGUUUCGGCACAUAAAGAACGUUUUGAAGAGUGAUGUUAUUCGACAAACGAACGGAACCGGAUUGGGUCGCAACAACAGAUUCACCAUUAGGAAGGCCAACCGGACACUCAAACAACGCUAUAGUAUCAAAUAACCAAGAUAAAUCACCGGUCACGUGAUGAGUUGCCCCGGUGUCAAUGAUCCAUGACUUCGUGUCAAACUUACCAUUCAACCUGUCAUCCGGAACUUGAGCAUUACCAAUUAAGCCCGCAAGAGCUUUCCAUUGUUCACCUUCCAAAAAUUCGAACUUGCGGCGUGCCUCCAAUGCCAACUGAAUAUCGGAAGCCCAAUCAUCGUAAUUGUCGCCGUGUAAGCAAGUGGGAGUGAUGAAGUCGCCUGGUCGGUCUCCUGUGCCGAGAAAAAAAGGUGAAUUCAUCUCCCUUUUAGGUAGCGGCAAUGGUGGUUGUUCAUCGUCGCCGGCCAUUGUUUUAUUGUGUGUGCAUGUCAGUGCUCUGAUACCAUGUAAAGUGUGAUUAAAGGGUCAAAGCUUAACCCUAAUUGAUAUUCAUCCAUGUAAAUAUAUAGUACAUCAAGCAAACCUAAUUAAGGGAAAACCGUGAGUUUAGGAAACAUUCCUAAACAAUGCCGUAAGUUUAAGAAACAAUCCUAAACAAUAGCUCCUAGAAUAUAUCAUAAUAUCUCAACAUUUAGGAAACAAUCCUAAACAAUAGCAACUACUUUCCUAGAAUAUAUCAUAAUAUCUCAACAGAACCCUACGUAUCACAGCAGAAGUUCCUCUUUCCGACGAUCGUUCAGCUUUGAAAUCCAUAUGCUGCUCCGCCAUGGCCUUCAAAACUAAACUCUCUUCUCCCACAGAAAAAUAUAUCCACUGUGGAAAAUCCAAAACUCCACCAACCUCGACACCCGGCCUGAGACUCACUGUGAUUCUCAGACGCAUGUGAAUAUGAAUUCACCCCUUCUUUAGUUAUAUGAUAUUUUUAAAAGUUAUUUUUGAAAAAUAUAUAAAAAUAAUUUAAACUAUUUUUCAAAUAAAUUUUUUUGUUUUUUAAGUGCUAUUAAAAAUUUAAAAGAUGCUUAUCUACGAAGCAAUAUAAAUUCUUUUUAAAAAUACUUUUAAAAUUUUGUCUGAAAAGGAAUUUUUAGAUUAUAAGUAUUUUUUAAAAUCACUAUAAAACACACUAAUUUUUUUUUUUAAAUUACCUGAAAAUUUUGUUUUUUUAUAAUCAUAUAUAAAAAAUCAUUAUUAAAAAUUAUUCUUUGAGAGAUGUUUUGGAAAUUAUUUCCAAACAACUCUUUAAUUAAUUUCUCCUUUACACACUUGAUGUGGACCAUCCAACUAAAUCCGUAAUCUUCAAUAAAUUACAAAUCAUACAAUUGUCUUUUUAUUGAUUCCAUACAACACUGGUGGCACCGAGUCAUCAAAUUUGACUGUUUCCGUUUUUGUUAUUGUUCAAAUGUUGACAUUUCUUGUCUAUAUGUCACGCGUCAUAUGUUUUUCCUAUCCCUGCUUUUCUUUUGAUCACCAAAAUCUCAUAAUUUUAACUUUGCUGUUUGCACCCAAUAUUUUUUGGAAACUUUUCGAGCCACUCUAAAGUUUAGCAUAUUAAAAUUUUGGCCCCUCAAAUUUUGUAACAUAACCAUGAGGUAGUACCCAUUUUGAAAAAAUUUCAUACUUACUUUAAAAUUUGACACACCACACAUAAAAAAUAUGUAUUUUUAAAUAAAAAUACUUUUCCCUUCCAAAUGAUAAUUUCUUUAAAUUUUCUAUAAACUCUAAUUUUUUUUAUUUAUUAUUAUUUUUUUUUUGUGGAUUGAAAUUUUAGUUACAUAUGGAGAACAUAAGUAGAAAAAUUUAAUAACAAUUGAAGUAUUUUUAAAUUUCAAAAUUUCUUCUAAAAUAAAAAUUAUAGAAUCCUUUAAGUUGUUUUCUUCUUAAUAUUUGGGUUUUUCUUUUAUAUUUGAAAAUUUGAAUAAUAUGAAUUUUUUUAUUAUAUUUAAGAAAAAAAAUGAGUCUCCUAAUUUUUUGCAAAGUUUAAAACUUACGUUUGAGAAUUUUGUUUUAAUACUCUUAAAACUUGUUAUAUUCUAUAAACACUAUUAUUUAAAAAAAAUAUUGUAUUAAAGGAGAAAGCGUGUUUUCAUACACCCAAUAUGAAAAAAAUUACAAAAUAAAAACUUAAAUUUAUAAAAUACAAAAUUUAAAUAAUUAUUUAAAAACAAUUAACAUUUCAUACAAUUUUUUUAAUUAAAUGUAUGCAACUAUUCUAGUACUACUCUUCAUGAUAUAAGUACUUCCUUGGUGAGUAAAUGAAACUUAAAUUUUUUUUUAAAUGAUUCAUAUUUUAUAAUUAUUUUUAUGUAAGGGUGUGAAAGCACACUUUUUCCGAUUAUUGUUGUGAAAACAAACUUCUACAUUAAUAUUACUGAAAAUAUGCAUAUCUCUUGCAGGCUGAGUUGAGACUUGAGGCUAUAAUAUGGGCCUAUUGGCCCAAAGCCCAAUUGAGUCUGCUUGACAAUUUCGGGCCAAAGCUCAGCCCGAGCUUGAUUCUUAGCCCAUCCAAAUGUCAGUGCAUCUCAAACCCUCUCAGGCCAGGCUUGGACUGAUAUUUUGAGCCUACAGGUGUUGAGCUUUAGCCUGUUGGCACAAAGGUCAGCCAAUUUCAUGCCACGGCUAGGUCCGAUCUGCAGCUCAGCCCAGUCCAACUCAAUAGCUGGAAUAGCUAAUCACGAAUACAUAAAAAAAAAAAAAAAAAAAAGAACAUAUGGUUUUUUUGGCAACAAGAACAAUUUUUUAUUCUCCAAAAUAAAAAAAAAUCGUUUGACAAUUAAUUAUUUUUUAAAAAAAGAUAGAAAUAGAAUAUAGGAUUCUUUAGAUAACAUUUUUAAAUUGUUUUUAGUUGGUUUUAUUUGUUUUAUGAGAAUUAUUAUAAAAAUUAAUUAUAUAAAUAUGUAAAAUGAUUAAAAAUAAAAUAUUAAAUAUAAAAAUUAUUUUUAAAACAUAUUUAAAAAUAUUAAAAACAUGUUAAAAAUAUUUUAAAGUUUCUAAACAGACUUUUAUUCUCCAAAAUAUUAAAAAACGUAUUUUAAAAACUAUUCUUAAAAACUGUUUUUUAAAUUGUUUUUAAGAACAAUUACCAAACAGAGUCAUAGUGAUUUAUCCCAUAUGACAAAAAUAACUUUAAAUUAAAAAAUUUGUUUAAUAUUUUCUAGUAAACUCACAUUUAAUUAAAUUUCUAUUAAAAUUAUCCUAAAUUCUUAUUUAAAAUAAUUCAAAUCUCCUUAAUGAAACUUUUUUGUGUGAUCUACUUUCGAAUACAAAAAUGUUAUUAAAAUUUUUUAAAAUCAAAUUUAUGAUAAAUCAUUUUUUAUUUCAUUUUAUUUUGUAAAAAAUUCCUUUAAAAAUUUAGUUGACAUUUUAUUCUUACUACUUUAUUUUUCAAUCACUAAGAUUAUUGAAACUUAUAUUUAUAAUUUUUUUAUUAAAUCAAAUUUCAUAAAAUGUUUAAAACCUUUUUAUUGAAAAUUUUAGAUAUUUUGAUUGUUAGCAAUUUAUAUUAUGUGCUUAACUAGGCAAAUUAAUUAAUUUUUAUUUUUUACAACAUUUACUAAUAAUAUUACGAUGAUUUGAGCUUAUCAAUAACAAAAUAUGUGAACCUUUUAAAAUAAUAAAAAUAUGUUAAUAUUUAAUUCAUUCAAAUUUUGUUUUAAAUGUUGCCCUUUAUAUAUGUAAGGUUUUUCUAAAAUUGCCUAUAAAAAUUAUUGGUCCAAAAUUUAGUUUGUUUUCAUGCUAUUGAAUUAUCCGGCUGAAUAACAUUUUGUUUAUUACUUUCAUUAAAAGUUGAAUUUCAAAGAAAAUUGGUGAUUUUAUCACUACAGUCUCGCAUUGGAAUGAAAGAAAUAAAAAGUUUAAUUGCGUCACAACACCAUCAUAAUGAACUUUCGAAUCAUAGGAUGAUCAAGUGCUAAUUAGGCUUCGAUUCGAAGUGACAUAAACCACUCAGAUUCUCAAGAUUGUAUAGCUACAAGCAAAUUAAUCUUCUCAAUUUAUAAUUUAUACCUUUAAAACUUCACAAAUCAGCUAAGAAGAAUAAAAGCUUGCAAAGACAAGAAUGUUUCUAGAGUUGGUUUCCAGCAAAAAAUUUACUAACCUCCAAAAACAUACAAAGAAAAAAAAAAAAGGAAAAGAAAAGAACUGAUAUUAUGGAAAAGUUGUGGGUGAGUUGAGGCACCUGAACAAUCAGUUGGAUGCAAUAGGGUUGGCCAAGUUUUGCUUGCUCAGAGCUGCAAAUUGAAUGAAUCUUGGUAUAUGAAUAUGUAGUGAUCCUGGGUAUGCAAAUUUCCAUUCUCUUGGACCUCUCAUCAAUCCUAUGAACAAUGUAAAUCAAUUGUUUUGUUCAGAAGGGCCCUUGAAAGAAGAGUACAAGUGAAGAUCUCAACAUCAACAUCAAAUGCCUUUGCAAGUACUUAGAAAUUAAUUAAUAUGAAUUCAAGUAUUUGAUGCAUAUAAAGGAUACAAAACAAAAAGGGGCUUGAUUCCAAGUUGAGAAAAGAAUUCUUGGAAAAAGUAAUGGAUGUUAACAUGAGCUAUGCCAUGAUCAAAAUCACCAGUUGUAUGCAAUUGAUUUGAAAUGAAAUAAACACAUAAAUUGGAUUAGAAAACAAUAUAUUUGUAGAGUGCAUGAUAUGUCUUAUCAUAUAAAAAAUCGAAAGAAAAUAAAAUAAAAUAGAAUUUUCAUGUCAUUCAUUUAAUUCCCUUCUCAUCAAUUCAUAUGCCAUUUACUCAAUUAUUCGAUCUUUAGUAUAAGAUAGUGUUUGUUUUUCGGUUGAAUGGAAAAAACCAAUUAUAUAAUAAUAGAGGAGUCCCUUGAAGAGUCUAGGUUUGCUUUUGCUAAAUGCCGAUGGAUUAGUUGCAAGAUGUUGAAGAACUGUCAUAUUGUUACCAUCUUUCAUGCUAAUUAAAUUUGAGUGCCUCUUCACAAUCAACAUUGCCAAGUCUGUUCAGUUUUAUUUUUAUUUAAAUUAAAGGGGGUUAAAGUAUGGAAAUUAACCUAGAAAUUAUUUUUUUUUUUAAUUUUUUUUUUUUGCAAAAUAAGCAAACAUAUAUAUAAAAAAAGACAUGUAGCAUAUGUGUAGAAAACAUUAUUAGAGUGAAAGAGAAGAAGGCUUUGAAAAAAAAAAAAGACUAGUGGAACUCACUAAAAUGCUCAGUAAUAAUAGUAGUUAUAAAAUAAUGAGAAUAGAUAAUAAAAUAAAAUAAAAAAAUAGAAUAAGAACACAUAAAUUUACGUGAAAGAUCCUAAAUAAGAAAAAUCAUAGACAAAGGAGAAAAAAAUCCACUAUAUUAAAAGAUUGGCACAAGAGGGGAGAGUUGCGAGCAGUUAUAACAGAAACAUAAUCAUCAUAAUUUUAAAACUAUAUACAUGCAAAAGUAAUUAAUAAGGUAGGUUUUAGACCUAUCAGCCUAAUCUCUCCGCUACUACAACAGACCCCUUAAAAUUUUUAUAAUUAUAACUUCACCAUAUAUAUUGCACUACGAGUUUUUUAGGUCAAAUCAAAUAAAAUUAUGAUCACCAAACUCUAACAAUAGCAAUAUAAAGAAUAAAUGUCUUAUCUUUACUUUGGAACUGGUCUUUACUACACUCUUGAUCACCGUAUUUGUAAACUUUGUCCCCCAUAAGCUUGAAUAUAUGAAUUUUCAAGAACUGAAGUCAAGAGAUUAUCCCGUACCAUGGGAAAAAGGUUAAUUUAUGCCUGCUAGCUCUAAAUUCUUCUCAAUAUUUUUAAAUAUUUUAUUUGAAAUUUCCUUGUUGGCUACUUUGAUCUAAAUUGACCAACAGUUCAACAUGAAUGUUGUUUUACAUGUUCAUAAAAGACUGUUAUAAGAAUAUAAUAAUUCUUAAAGUAUAAUUUCUAUGGCAAGCAAUUAAAUUUAUUCUUCAACUAUUAAUAAUUCUUUAAGUAAAAUGUGCCAUGCCGGGAAUACAAAUUUAUUCUUGGAUGAUGAACUUUCAACUUUUGAAAACAACCAUUAAUUAAAUUUAUUCUUUGAUGGUGAACUUUCAACUUUUGGAAACAAUGCUUAAUUAUUUUUCAGUAAAAAAUUUCUAGCCAUCUACUUAAUCUAAGUUGAUUAUGGCUAUAUUUGGUUCCCGAAAAGUACUAAAAAACAAAAAAUGAAUAUUAAAGAAAAUGAUUUUCUCAUAUUUGGUUUUACCAUAAAAUUUUUAAAUAGAAUUAAAUAUAAUUAAAAUUAAUUAAAAAUUUAUAUAUUUUAAAAUAAUUUAAUUUUUAUAUAAUAAAUGAAACUAAUUGAAACGAGUUUAAAGAAGCAUAUAAAAAUAAUUUAUUAAUUUUAAAUUUAUUUUUUAUUUUUUUUAUAUUUUCAUUUUUUCUCUUUAUUUUAUAGGAAUCAAACAUAGCAUUAUAUGCUUUGGACAAGUUUAAUAAAAGAAAAAGUCAUUGGAAUAUAAUAAUCCUUGAAGUACAACUUAAUGGGAA